AGAUAGCAUNNGCAUGGNUCUAAGUAUAAGCAAUUAUACCGUGAAACUGCGAAUGGCUCAUUAAAUCAGUUAUCGUUUAUUUGAUAGUACCUUACUACUUGGAUAACCGUGGUAAUUCUAGAGCUAAUACAUGCUAAAAACCCCAACUUCGGGAGGGGUGUAUUUAUUAGAUAAAAAACCAAUGCCCUUCGGGGCUCCUUGGUGAUUCAUAAUAACUUAACGGAUCGCAUGGCCUUGAGCCGGCGACGGUUCAUUCAAAUUUCUGCCCUAUCAACUUUCGAUGGUAAGGUAUUGGCUUACCAUGGUUUCAACGGGUAACGGGGAAUUAGGGUUCGAUUCCGGAGAGGGAGCCUGAGAAACGGCUACCACAUCCAAGGAAGGCAGCAGGCGCGCAAAUUACCCAAUCCCGACACGGGGAGGUAGUGACAAUAAAUACUGAUACAGGGCUCUUUUGGGUCUUGUAAUCGGAAUGAGUACAAUUUAAACCCCUUAACGAGGAACAAUUGGAGGGCAAGUCUGGUGCCAGCAGCCGCGGUAAUUCCAGCUCCAAUAGCGUAUAUUAAAGUUGUUGCAGUUAAAAAGCUCGUAGUUGAACCUUGGGCCUGGCUGGCCGGUCCGCCUCACCGCGUGUACUGGUCCGGCCGGGCCUUUCCUUCUGGAGAUCCUCAUGCCCUUCACUGGGUGUGUUGGGGAACCAGGACUUUUACUGUGAACAAAUUAGAGUGUUCAAAGCAGGCCUUUGCUCGAAUACAUUAGCAUGGAAUAAUAGAAUAGGACGUGCGGUCCUAUUUUGUUGGUUUCUAGGACCGCCGUAAUGAUUAAUAGGGAUAGUCGGGGGCAUCAGUAUUCAAUUGUCAGAGGUGAAAUUCUUGGAUUUAUUGAAGACUAACUACUGCGAAAGCAUUUGCCAAGGAUGUUUUCAUUAAUCAGUGAACGAAAGUUAGGGGAUCGAAGACGAUCAGAUACCGUCGUAGUCUUAACCGUAAACUAUGCCGACUAGGGAUCGGGCGAUGUUUCUAUCUUGACUCGCUCGGCACCUUACGAGAAAUCAAAGUUUUKGGKUCUGGGGGGAGUAUGGUCGCAGCUGAACUAGAGAUAUGUCUUAGCGCGAGAAA
rnacentral:rRNA from 1 species